rnacentral:rRNA from 1 species
GACGAACGCUGGCGGCGUGCCUAAUACAUGCAAGUAGGACGCAGUUGCGAACGGGUGAGUCACGCGUAGGUAACUACCUAUUAGAGGGGGCUAACUAUUGUAACCGAUAGCUAAUACCGCAUACUAGUAGAUUGACCUGCGUUGUAUUAGCUAGUCGGUAGGGUAAUGGCCUACCUAGGCAACGAUACAUAGUCGACCGGGGAGGGUGAGCGGCCACACUGGGACUGAGACACGGCCCAGAGUCCUACGGGAGGCAGCAGUAGGGAAUCUUGGGCAAGGGGGGGAACCCUGAGCGAGCAGCGCCGCGGGAGUGAAGAGGGUUUUCGGAUCGUAAAGCUCUGUUGUUAAGGAAGCGGUACUUAACCAGAAAGGGACGGCUAACUACGUGCCAGCAGCCGCGGUAAUAC